UACGGCUAUAUCACGUUGAAACAUCAGUACACAUAGGAUCGCCGAAGUUAAGCAACGCCGAACUUGGUCAGUACUUCGAUGGGUGACCCUUGAGAAUACCUGGUGCUGUAAG